rnacentral:rRNA from 1 species
UUACCUACCCUUGACAUGUCUGGAAAGCCGAAGAGAUUUGGCCGUGCUCGCAAGAGAACCGGAACACAGGUGCUGCAUGGCUGUCGUCAGCUCGUGUCGUGAGAUGUUGGGUUAAGUCCCGCAACGAGCGCAACCCUUGUCAUUAGUUGCUACGCAAGAGCACUCUAAUGAGACUGCCGGUGACAAACCGGAGGAAGGUGGGGAUGACGUCAAGUCCUCAUGGCCCUUAUGGGUAGGGCUUCACACGUCAUACAAUGGUCGGGACAGAGGGUCGCCAACCCGCGAGGGGGAGCCAAUCUCAGAAACCCGAUCGUAGUCCGGAUCGCAGUCUGCAACUCGACUGCGUGAAGUCGGAAUCGCUAGUAAUCGCGGAUCAGAAUGUCGCGGUGAAUACGUUCCCGGGUCUUGUACACACCGCCCGUCACACCAUGGGAGUGGGUUUCACCAGAAGUAGGUAGCCUAACCGUAAGGAGGGCGCUUACCACGGUGCGAUUCAUGACUGGGGUGAAGUCGUAACAGGGUAACCCGUAACCGAA